rnacentral:rRNA from 1 species
UAGUUGGUGGGGUAACGGCCCACCAAGCCUAAGAUCCGUACGGGCUGUGGGAGCAGGAGCCCGGAGAUGGACCCUGAGACAAGGGUCCAGGCCCUACGGGGCGCAGCAGGCGCGAAACCUCCGCAAUGCGGGAAACCGCGACGGGGUUAGCCGGAGUGCCCGUGCAUUGCACGGGCUGUCGGGGUGCCUAAACAGCACCCCAUAGCAAGGGCCGGGCAAGGCCGGUGGCAGCCGCCGCGGUAAGACCGGCGGCCCGAGUGGCGGCCACUCUUAUUGGGCCUAAAGCGUCCGUAGCCGGCCCAGUAAGUCCCCCGGGAAAUCUGGUCGCUUAACGAUCAGACUUCCGGGGGAUACUGCUGGGCUAGGGACCGGGAGAGGCCGAGGGUAUUCCCGGGGUAGGGGUGAAAUCCUGUAAUCCCGGGAGGACCACCUGUGGCGAAGGCGCUCGGCUGGAACGGGUCCGACGGUGAGGGACGAAGGCCUGGGGAGCGAACCGGAUUAGAUACCCGGGUAGUCCAGGCUGUAAACGAUGCGGGCUAGGUGUCACCGGAGCUACGAGCUCCGGUGGUGCCGGAGGGAAGCCGUUAAGCCCGCCGCCUGGGAAGUACGGCCGCAAGGCUGAAACUUAAAGGAAUUGACGG